rnacentral:rRNA from 1 species
GAGUGAAGAGGGAAGAGCUCAUCAUUGGAAUCUGGCGGUGUUGCACCGUCCGAGUUGUAGAUGAGGAGUGGUUCAUCUGGACUGCAUGGCGUCCAAGUACAAUAGGCCGUCAGUGGGACAUCAUAGAGGGUGACAAUCCCGUCCUUGAUGCCAAUGUGCAAGUCCAUUACGAUGACCAUCUCAGAGAGUCGAGCAGUUUGGGAUUUGCUGCUUAAACAUGGGAGGUAGAUUCCUUCUAAAGCUAAAUACAGGCAAGAGACCGAUAGAGAACAAGUACCGCAAGGGAAAGAUGAAAUAGCACUCUGUGAAGGGAGUCAAAAGGCGUGAAAUUGUUGCGAGAGAAGCGAUUCAAGUCAGCGUAGCUAGGCCCAUUAAGCCUCUUUGCGCUUUGGACUAGCUUUGCCAGCGGUCUUGUCCUUAGAGACUUGACUUGUAUGUCCAGCCUGGUAUGCACAGGUAGCCCUCCGGGGUCAGUGACAUGGCUGGUGGAAUGGCUUGCAAUCGACCCGUC